ACUCGACUCCGCAGCAGGGCCGGAGUUCUCAGGCCGGAGAAGCCAUUCAGUGCCUCUUCUAGGAGGAGACCGCUGGCGCUCGACCAGCCUGCGUCUCCGCUCCUACCCAGCCAGUGGUUCGCACAAAGCUCUAGGAAGUGCGCGGGGGAGGUGGGCGGACCGGUAAAGCGGAGACACCGGAGAUCCGGAAGUGGUGCUGCGGCAAGAGAGCAGCUGAGAGCACAGGCUCCGGACGCGCAGCCUCAGCGGCCGUGGCUCACGAGCCAAGCCACUCGCGACAUGUGGGAUCUUCCUGGACCGGGGCACAAACCCGUGUCCCCUGCAUCGGCAGACGGACUCUCAACCACUGCGCCACCAGGGAAGCCCUGUUCCUUGUUUUUUAAGUACACGGGUCUCCCAUUGUUGUGGCUUCUCCCAUUGUGGAGCACAGGCUCCGGACGCGCAGGCUCAGCGGCCAUGGCUCACGGGUCCAGCUGCUCUGUGGCAUGUGGGAUCCUCCCUGACCGGGGCACAAACUCGUGUCCCCUGCAUCGGCAGGCGGACUCUCAACCACUGCACCACCAGGAGAAGCCGGCUGCCAUGACAUGAGAAUGCUCAAGCUUCACUAGGGGAAAGUUAACAUGGCAAGAACCUGAGGCCUCCUGCCAAGGGGCAAGGAUGAAACUGGGGUUUUCUGUCAACAGUCAGCCUUAAGAUGAUCACAGUCCUUGCUGACAUCUUAACUGUAACUUCAUGAGAGACCCUGAGCCAGAGUUACCCAGCUAGGCUGCUCCUGAAUUCCUAAACCACAGCAGAAAUUGUGAGAUAAGUGUUUAUUAUUUAAUCUUCUAGAUUUGGGGGCAAUUUCUUACAUAACAAUAGGUAACUAAAAUACUGACAGACCUUCCAAAUAAAGUGCCAAUUUUGUUCAGAAUAAAUUAAUAAAAUGAAUAUCCCAAUUAUCCUAUGGUUUUCCAGAAGUAGUUAUGUAAUAAAUAGUUCAUAACAAUACUAUUGUCACCUAGUAAGCUUAAGAAUAAUAUUAUUUGUUGAGUAUUUAAUAUGUACUAUGAAUUUUACCAGUGAAAAA